GCAUCCUUGGUGUAGUGGUAACACACUCCCUGCAUACUGUGGUCGUAAGGAAUUCUAGGGAGGUCCAGGGUUCGACUCCUUGAGGAUGCA